UCAUGUCCUUCAAUUGAGUAGAUCAUAUCCAUCGGGUCUGACGAACUUGUCCAUUGUUGCCCACAUGUCAGAUGAAGAAGCUGGCACUGGGAAUGGUGUGACUCCUCUCGUCCACAUCCAGAUCCAACAGUUAAGGUUUGAUGAUGACACAUGCACAAUAUAUGUUGUCUCUUCGUUGGACCAGUUUUAACAGUCAAGGUUUGUCCACAAUUAUCAUCUCCUUCAGUUGAGUAGAUCAUUUCCAUCGGGCCUGACGAACUUGUUCAUUGUUGCCCACAUGUCAGAUGAAGAAGCGUGCACUAGGAAUGGUGUACCUCCUAUCAUCCACAUUCAGAUCCAACAGUUAAGAUAUAUGCGGACCGUUAUUAUUUUAGUCGUUUGGUCCAUUUGUAACAAAAACGCAACUUGUCCCCGUUGCAGGUUUGAUGAGAAUGCAUGCACAAUAUAUGUUGUCCCUCUGGUGGACCAGUUUCAAUAGUUAAGGUCUCAUGACGACACAUGCAUUGGAAAUGUUGUGCCUCCAAUGGAUCGGUUUCAAGAGUCAAGAUAUAUGUCCACCCUAAUUAUUUCUGUUGACGGCGUGUUCACUGAAAAUUUUGCCGCCCUGGUGGACCAGGUCCAACUGCCAAGAUAGAUGUCCUCUCUUUGGUAGACCACUUUUGUUUAACUUAGACGAACUUGUUUGUUGUUGUACAAACUCAGUAUGUAACAAUGAUUAUUCAGCCACCACCAA